rnacentral:rRNA from 1 species
CCUACGGGUGGCAGCAGUGAGGAAUAUUGGUCAAUGGGCGAGAGCCUGAACCAGCGAAGUCGCGUGAAGGAUGACGGCCCUACGGGUUGUAAGCUUCUUCUGUCAGGGAGCAAUUGGCUCCACGCGUAGGCUUAGCGAGAGUACCCGAAGUAAAAGCAUCGGCUAACUCCGUGCCAGCAGCCGCGUUAAUAGGGUGGAUGCGAGGGUUAUCCGGCUUUGUGGGGGUUAAGGGGGGGGUAGGCGGAAUCUCAAGUCAGCGGGAAAGAUUCGGGGCUCAACCCCGUCGUGCCGUUGAAACUGAGGUGCUUGAGUGGGGGAGAAGUAGGCGGAAUGCGUGGUGUAGCGGUGAAAUGCGUAGAUAUCACGAAGAACACCGAUUGCGAAGGCAGCAUACCGGCGCUCAACUGACGUUGAGGCACGAAAGUGUGGGUAUCGAACAGGAUUAGAUACCCGAGUAGUC